rnacentral:rRNA from 1 species
AUUGAACGCUGGCGGCAGGCCUAACACAUGCAAGUCGAGCGAGUGGCGGACGGGUGAGUAAUGUAUGGGAAACUGCCUGAUGGAGGGGGAUAACUACUGGAAACGGUAGCUAAUACCGCAUACCAUCGGAUGUGCCCAGAUGGGAUUAGCUAGUAGGUGGGGUAAAGGCUCACCUAGGCGACGAUCCCUAGCUGGUCUGAGAGGAUGACCAGCCACACUGGAACUGAGACACGGUCCAGACGCCUACGGGAGGCAGCAGUGGGGAAUAUUGCACAAUGGGCGCAAGCCUGAUGCAGCCAUGCCGCGUGUAUGAAGAAGGCCUUAGGGUUGUAAAGUACUUUCAGCGGGGAGGCGUUACCCGCAGAAGAAGCACCGGCUAACUCCGUGCCAGCCGCCGCGGUAAUAC